AUUGAACGCUGGCGGCAUGCUUUACACAUGCAAGUCGAACGGUAACAGGCCUUCGGGUGCUGACGAGUGGCGAACGGGUGAGUAAUGCAUCGGAACGUACCCAGAGGUGGGGGAUAACGCAGCGAAAGCUGUGCUAAUACCGCAUGUGAUCUGAGGAUGAAAGCGGGGGACCGAGCAGCAAUGUUUGGCCUCGCGCCUUUGGAGCGGCCGAUGUCGGAUUAGCUAGUUGGUGUGGUAAAGGCCUACCAAGGCGACGAUCCGUAGCUGGUCUGAGAGGACGACCAGCCACACUGGGACUGAGACACGGCCCAGACUCCUACGGGAGGCAGCAGUGGGGAAUUUUGGACAAUGGGCGCAAGCCUGAUCCAGCAAUGCCGCGUGCGGGAAGAAGGCCUUCGGGUCGUAAACCGCUUUUGGCAGGAACGAAACGGUGUCCGCUAAUACCGGGCGCUAAUGACGGUACCUGCAGAAUAAGCACCGGCUAACUACGUG
rnacentral:rRNA from 1 species